CCUACGGGUGGCAGCAGUGAGGAAUAUUGGUCAAUGGACGAGAGUCUGAACCAGCCAAGUAGCGUGAAGGAUGAAUGCCCUAUGGGUUGUAAACUUCUUUUAUAUGGGAAUAAAACGUUCCACGUGUGUGAUUUUGUAUGUACCAUAUGAAUAAGGAUCGGCUAACUCCGUGCCAGCAGCCGCGGUAAUACGGAGGAUCCGAGCGUUAUCCGGAUUUAUUGGGUUUAAAGGGAGCGUAGGUGGAUUGUUAUGUCAGUUGUGAAAGUUUGCGGCUCAACCGUAAAAUUGCAGUUGAAACUGGCAGUCUUGAGUACAGUAGAGGUGAGCGGAAUUCGUGGUGUAGCGGUGAAAUGCUUAGAUAUCACGAAGAACUCCGAUUGCGAAGGCAGUUCACUGGACUGCAACUGACACUGAGGCUCGAAAGUGUGGGUAUCAAACAGGAUUAGAUACCCCAGUAGUC
rnacentral:rRNA from 1 species